UCAGUGAAUCAUCGAAUCUUUGAACGCACAUUGCGCCCUCUGGUAUUCCGGGGGGCAUGCCUGUUCGAGCGUCAUUA
rnacentral:rRNA from 1 species